rnacentral:rRNA from 1 species
GAUGAACGCUGGCGGCGUGCCUAAUACAUGCAAGUCGAACGCUGGAAAUCUAGCUUGCUAGAUUGAAGGAGUGGCGAACGGGUGAGUAAUACAUAAGCAACCUACCCACGAAGACUGGGAUAAUCUCUGGAAACGGGGACUAAUACCGGAUAGGUAAUCUGAAGGCGUCUUCUGAUUAUUAAAGGUUAAAAACACUGGUGGAUGGGCUUAUGGCGCAUUAGUUAGUUGGUGAGGUAACGGCCCACCAAGACGAUGAUGCGUAGCCGGCCUGAGAGGGUGAACGGCCACAUUGGGACUGAGACACGGCCCAGACUCCUACGGGAGGCAGCAGUAGGGAAUUUUCGGCAAUGGGGGAAACCCUGACCGAGCAACGCCGCGUGAGUGAUGACGGCCUUCGGGUUGUAAAGCUCUGUUGUAAGGGAAGAACGGUAGAUAGAGAAUAUCUAAAUGACGGUACCUUACCAGAAAGCCACGGCUAACUACGUG